rnacentral:misc_RNA from 1 species
GUGAAUCAUCGAAUUUUUGAACGCAAAUUGCACUCUCUGGCAUUCCGGAGAGUAUGCCUGUUUGAGGGUCGGUUUAAAUAAAAAUCGAGGUGUUGCUUUUUUGUGACCCAUCGGAAUUGGGCUAUCUUUGACCUUUUAAAGGUUUAAAUUACCUUAAAUUGAUACCCUUUGCCUCUCAAACGUUCAUUA